AACCGAGAAACUCCAAACGCAUUUCAGGGACGAGGACGGGGGACCCACCAUCUCCUGGAGAUCACCGGGUUCCGAGAAAUCGGAGCCCUUGGGGUGAAGCCCGCGCAAGCGGACCGAGCAACCUCUCGCUCGAACCCGACAGCUGACUUCGUAGGCGCGUGGAGAGAGGAAGU
rnacentral:sRNA from 2 species